GGAGAGCCAGAGAGUGUGGAGGCCUCCUCCAGGACUUUGGGUGAAGGAGGAUUUAAGCCGUCUCACCCCAGUUGAAGGCAGAGCCAAAUCCCGGAGGCCCUGUGAAAAUGAGAUUGCAUUCUGAAAAUCAGAAUAGCACAUUCACCUCCUAACAGCUAUAAUCCUCUCAACAGUGAAACUCCGGGGACAAGUGGACUUUGGCUGGGUUCAGUUGUGAAUUCUGCAGACGUGCACACAAAAUCAUGACACUGGCAAUUCUCACCUUCCCCAGAAAGCCAAGGCCUUCAUGGAGGCCUCAUCUGCAACCCCCCAGUUAGGUCCUCACACAGACCCCACCGUCCCACACAUCAGCGGGUGCUAUCCACCCUUCCCUCCACCUUGCCACACAUCAAAGAUUCCCAACUAGUGCCAAGUCUCCACCAGAGCAUGGCACUCAUCGGGCUGGAGUUGGAAGCAAAACUGAAUAUCAAACGUGCCAUCCCUCAUUCCACUGAUGAGAAAACAGAGACCCAGAGAAAGGAACUGCCCUCUCCAGGAUCAGAGCUCUGGGCCAAGGUCCCUUGUGGGCUACUUUAUUGCUCUUUUUACUCAGGUACUUUAUCUCCCUUUGCUGAGUAAUAAAAGGUUUAAUUACUCUCAGAUGUUUACCAAAGAAAUGUAAUAACCUUCUCAGCAUAAUAUUUGGGCAUGAAGAGUAUAAUGAUAGGCAUAUUUUGUGUGUGUUUUUGUUUCUGCCAGAUUUUCCUUUACGUUCCCCUUAAGUCUGUGUUCCUUGAGCUAGAGGGGGUCUCAGAUAUAGUCUCAGGAUUUCAAGAGUUCUCCAGAACAAUUUUUAAUUUAAU
rnacentral:lncRNA from 10 species